rnacentral:rRNA from 1 species
UACGGAGGGUGCAAGCGUUAUCCGGAUUCACUGGGUUUAAAGGGUGCGUAGGCGGGUAUAUAAGUCAGUGGUGAAAGCUCCGAGCUUAACUUGGAAACUGCCAUUGAUACUGUAUAUCUUGAAUGUCGUUGAGGUUAGCGGAAUGUUGCAUGUAGCGGUGAAAUGCUUAGAUAUGUUACAGAACACCAAGUGGGAAGACAGCUAACUAAGCGAUGAUUGACGCUGAGGCACGAAAGCGUGGGGAGCAAACAGG